AAGAUGCUGUCUGGGGCUGUGGUCUCAUGUGAGGUUGAGGGUCUUCUUCUCAACUCUCAUCCUUAAAGUACAGAAGAAGAAAUAAGAGGAGGAUGAAGGAAUAAGAGAUUAAUCUUGACUUUGAGCCCCAGGGACUAAGGCAAAUGAACAUUGGUACCAACAUUUUCCUUUGGGCAUGCAGUACAUUUGCCUCUACUGGAAAACCAUUAUGAUUCCAUACAAGUCAGGAUGACAUAAUGAAG